rnacentral:lncRNA from 1 species
UGCAGAGCAGCAGUACACAAUGAGACAGCUGAUCAAACUUUGUUUUCAGCAUGAAUUUGGUUUGAAGAAACCUAAGGUGGUAUUUACUCCUGUCAGUUUUAGAUAUCUAGCUCAGGGUGAGAUUCUUGUCUCCAGAAUAAAGUCUUUAUUUCCAUCUCUUGGAAGGGGGCUACAGCCCCAGGCUCCAUCAGGUACAGAGACCAGAAGAAACUCAGCUCUAGAUGUUAAAGAAAAGGUAGGGCUCUUGUCCUGAGGCUGCACCAGACUCCACAAAUGAAACAACAUUAAUGGUAUGACAUAAUACUUGAGGGUUUGCCUGUUAAAACAUGACGGUACCCCAAGCAUCUAGUUCUUCACAGUUGUGGCUUACAUAACAAAAUUGCAUGCAGUGUUUUGUACAGCUUCUUAAAAGUCUUUGUAAACAGCAAUUUCAUUCCCUCUCUGAGCAGCAGGCACGUUCCUUGCAGAGGUUAAAGGAGGACAAUACCAGGCCUGGAGAGCGUGGAAGCUUCUAGGUAGGCUGCCCGUUGGUGUCUGUGGAUGAAGUUUCUCCCGAUGCAGGUGCUGGCUGUAAGCAACUGUGCUGAGGCGGAUGGAGAAACAGGGCUUGGAAAUGGAAAGAGGAACAGUCUUAAACUUCAGGAGGGCAGUGGGUAAAAGUUCCCAGGAAGUAAAGUGAGGAUUUCCUCAAAAAGCCAGGAAGGAGCCUUGCAGGCCUGCACUGCAGCUAUUGCUGGAAACCUGCUUGGUGCCAGCUAGGAGCGGGGAGCAAAUGAGAAGUACGGUGAACGCUUGGUUCCUCAAAGUGGUUGGUGCGUGAUUGAAUCUGCACUAUCUUUGAUGAAGGAUGUUUCACUUCCCCAAACGAACUUGUGUUUUAGAUUUAGUCCCAUAUAUAUUAUUUCAGGCAAAACUCAGUGAAAUGGAAACAGAUGUGUAUAAAUAUGUUGUAACAACAGCUACUAUCUUCAUACAAAAUGCAGCUAGAAUUACCACAUGUGCUUCUCCUAUUGACGUCUAACGGUUAUUUUGCCCCGUGCCUCUCAUCAAAAUGUGAUUUAUUUAGCUGUGAGAUUGGGACACCGUAUCUGAAGUCUCUGGGACAGAUUACAGGGGAGGCAGAACAGUACAGUGGUGAUCUAUGGCUGUUCAGCUACUGCUUUAUUUUUAGUUGAUUGGAUUAUGUCGCUAUCUGGAUUGUGACCGUGAUGGUGCCUGUGAUGGUAAUAUCUUGGCAUUGAAUUCAAAUACAGCCCCUUAAAGGAAGAAGCCUUGCACUUUCCAGAACCAACUCCAGGAGCUGACCAGAAGCGUGUUCAUCAUAACCACCUAUUUGGGAAUUUUUCUUCUUCAUCAAAGCAAGUUACUCUGCAGUGCACAGCAAAGGCCAUAGAAACAAAGAGGAUGGGAUGGAAAGGUUAUAGCUUGAAUCCUGACAUUCCUCAGGCUUGUGUUCAGCCUUUCAUCUCUGCGCUGCCCUGUGGGAGAGCAGCGGGAUGCUGAGGAAGGAGGGGAGCAGCAGCCCAAAGCUGUGUGGCUCGGUGUAGUGCAGCUGGUGAGUUACGUACUGCUACCUUCCUGAAAAGUAAAAUGCCUGGAGUACGUGCCAUCAGAAUAACAGGAGUAGAACUGACCAUGUGCUGGGGAGGGAGGAAACAGGCCUCCAAGUCAUUUGAAAACCAUCGUCAUCAUUUUGUUCGCUGUCAAAAACACCAGCAUGCCUCUGCCACCAUCAUACGGUAUUUGCACGGUGUGGAUCCAAAGAAGUGAGACAUCUGAUACUACAAUUUGUUCUUGGCUGAAGAAGACGGAGAAAAUACUCAGGAAUUUAUAACAUAUAUGUGUAUAAUUAAAAAGCAAGUGCAUCUUCCAGUGAGAGACUUGGGAGGCAUCCAACUGCAGGGAAAGCCCUGUGAGUUCGUGUCUGUGUAUCCUUGGAGCACACCUCUGUAACAGAACGCGUGCUUUGACAAUUCCUUGAAUGAUACCACAGCCCACUGGUAACAGAUGUGCUUUCACACGGAACUGCAAUCUCCCCAUACCGACGCUGACGGGACGUGGGCGCGAGC